CCUAUUUAACAAUAAAUAUAUAAGUAUAGUUAUGUUUAAUUUAUUCAAAUCAUCGUUAGCUUCUAUUAUACUUUAUGUUUAUUUAACUUCUUUUUUUAACCUAUUUCAUUUCAAUUUCUACACUUUUUUUUUCCUUAUACCUUUAGUACAAAAUCUAUAGUAAAAAACUUUAAAAAUUGAAGUUAAUUUAUAUUUUGAAUGUAGCACUUUUGAUUCCAUGUAGGUUUAAGAAAGUAGAAAUACAUACACAAGAUUCCAAACAAAAUGUCCUAGGCAUAAAAUUUAAAAUAUAGUACACACGUGAUGCAACCAAAACAUUUUAUAGGUUUAAAAGUUCAAAGAAUAAUAAUAUAUAUCUUGUUUUUGUUUUUUAGUGUUCAAACUUUUCUUUAGAUUUUUUCUACAUGCAUCAAACUCUAUUCAUUCAACCUACUUUGCACCGAUUUUGGUUAUUAAAUAAAUAAGAUAGUUAUAAUAUUAGACCUGUUUGGUAUCUUCCAAAUGAUCAAUCCAAUCAUGAAUCAUAAAUUGAAUCCAAGAAGCAGCAAUCAUGUUGAAUUGCUUUCCAGUGUCGAUAAGUUUUCUUCUUGCCAAAAGCUUCGUCGCAACCACCAUUGGAUCAGGAUGGAUGUUUCGGCCAAAGAAGGAACCUUGGGCACCAGCUCCUUCAUUAAAGGGAUCGUUGUAUUUUCCAUCUGCAGUUCGAUACGGAAAAUCCACUGGAUUGAACCGAACUCCAACUGGAGUUCGCCCGACAUUGAACAAGUUAUAUUCUUGAUGAAGAUGUCGACGAACUGCUAGGUAGAGUAACCCCAAAAUCACAGGAAGUUUAUGCCAAAUUCCCAAUUUAUCAACAAAAUGUACGAUCUACAAAUCCAAAAAAUGUGAUUCAAAUAUUAGCACGGUUUCAUGUUUUUGUUUUUCAUUUCUUGUUCUUAUGUUGGGAUGAAAUGUGUUUAACGAUUAUCCAUUUAUUCAUUAUAAAUUUAAAGAAUGUCUAAGAACUCUUUUUUUC